CCUGCCCAGAAACCAAUCUCAAUAUUUUGAUGAGUCGGUGGCAUGGUCAUUUGUUUAUCUUCGUGAUACAGUAAUGAUGUAGAGGAUGAUCAGGAAUGAUAGCACCAUGGAGGAAAAGAUUGAGGUUAAAACGGAGAAUCCAAUGUGUCGACAGUAGGAAUCAUAGACAUUGCAGAUCUUGUGCCAUCCUACAUUUGAGUUUCCUUUGAGUCCUAAGUAGGCUACUUCACCUGAGGCUCCAGUUGCGGAAGCUAAAAUACCCAAGAGUAGCUGAGCACAAAAAUGCAAUUGUUAAUAAAUAUUAUACAUGAUGUCUUAUAACGGUGUAGGGACAUGGAGAUUUUCCAUCACUUACCACAUCUACCGAGAAAACACAUGACAUCAACUUUGAUGAUGUUGUAGAACGUUUCACCAGUGCGGAGAAAGAUAAGAUGGUGGUAAUUAUGCUGUAGAAGCAAGUCACUGAGAGAACAGCUGACGAAUAUCUGAAAAUAUUUCCAUGUUAGGGUCUUAGGCAAGAAACAUUUGCAUUAACUUAAUUUGCUGUGCAAAACAAAAACUGCACUUACAUGAAGGCUGGUAAAUCAGUGAAUUCAGCUGCAACAGAUGCUCCGUAAGGUGGGAAAGGCACGGGAAUCGUUUCGGUUUGCUUACUGGUCACUAGAGCUACAAGUGAUGUUAGGGAUGUUGCAAACAAGAAGACCCUCAAUAUCACAUCAUGCAACACAAAUUUGCUAGUUGUAGUACUGGCCUCACUAUUCUUCUCAAGCUCUAGUACCACUGCUGGGCUGAUUGAGGCCAUGGAUAUUUUACUGUAAAACAAGAAUGGAUGCAAAUGAGGCUGAGAAGAUUUGUGAAUAACUUGGAGCUAUGGAUCAGUACUUAUAGGAGUGUUCUCUGGAUGCCUAGACAGCGAAUGUUUAGCUUUAUUAAAUCACAUGAGUCAAUUGUAUGACUAUAAUAAUUUCAUGGUUCAAUCGCACUAGCUAGGAGUAAACUAAUUCGCUUCUGGCAGCUGAAUUUGUUCUGUUUAAACCAUAUUAAAAUUUUAGUCAAAAAUCCAUAAAAUAUAACGGUCCCAGAAAUAUUUUCUUAAUAAGAAGAAACCCACUUAGCAUAUCAAUUUUGAACAUUGUUCUAAAAGUUGAAAUGUUUAAACAAUAGAUAUAAACUCUCCAAGUACUCACAUUAGGGAACUCAUUUACGUAUGUGAAGAAAAAUGGAGGGGCUGCACAUGUUUAAUCACCAUGUGAAACACUCUAUUAGCACCAUUCACGUACACUAGCAUCAAUUAUAGAAAAGUCUGGUUAUAUUAAACAAAAUUACUUUUUGUUCAGGGGACUUGGGAGCUAUGCAUUUGGUCAUCGGACAAAAAAGUAUGCAUGACUUCUAAUUCUAAUUUUUGAAAUCUUGAAAGUUAAUAUAUUAACAAGUAUGCAGCACGUAAUAUUUUGAGGUUGAAAAUGUAUAUAUUGGUACCUUCUGAUAAAAUUGCUUAGAGGUGAGGGAUCGAGAUAUCAACACAAACAAACUCGUAUGAUUUUUGCAGUGUUUACAAGUCACUAAAGAUGGUGUUUUUUUUAAUGUGGGUACAAAAAUUUGUUAAACAAAUUUUUUUUUAAAAAUGUAUAUAUGCAAAAUUAAGAUUUCUACUUUUUGAUUGAAUUAGUAAAUAAGUGUUUGAAUUAUACACAUACAUAUAUAUAUAGUGUAAAAAUAUUGUCUAGUAAUGAAUUUUAUAAAUUAUGUGUAAAUUUGCAAACUCAUCCAUGUAUAUGCCACCAGUAUACUAAUAUUAUGAAUGUGAAUAAAUUUGAACAAAUUAAUAAUUUCAAACAUAACUAAUUAUAAUUCAUCUAUUUUCCAAGACAAGUAUAAUAUAAUAUUUAUUUAUAAUAAUAUUAUUUUUCACACACUAACUAAACUAUAGAAAAAUAUAUAAUGGGCCUAACUAUUAUGGGAUAUGUAAUUAUUAAUGGACCUAAAAAUUUUGGGCCUAGCUAAUUUGAAUUGUACAUUAUGUAGUUGGGUUGUUUGGGCUCUCCAUUUAUCCACCUCCUAGCACCUUCAGGUACCUCCUAGCACCUUCAGGUGUGUUCGAGAAACUUCUUAUGUAUCUAUAUAAACACUCCAUUUCAUAGGUGAUUGAUAUAAUAUUAAACAUUAAAUUAAGUUAUAUAAACUUUUCUCUCAUUAUCGUUUUCAGUUUUAACACCACUAUCAGAAACAUUCAAACGUGUGUGGAUUAUUUGUUAUUCUUUCUCCUCCAUCCAUUGAUCCCUAUUGGAAUGAUUGUAUUAUUCAUGAUGGUGUGUAUUAUUUGUUAUUCUUUCUCCAUCCAUUUGCUCUUCAAAAGUCUAUGUUAUGUGUUUAUAUAUGAUUAUGAUUGUAUUAUCCAAUGAUAGAAGUCUGUAUAUGAACAUUCAUAUUAAGAAAGAAAUAGUGCUUAUUCUAACAAAAGUUCUUAAAAACCCUUUUUUAAAAUGUUUUUUGUCAUUUUCUUGAGGAAAUAUAAUAUUAAUUCUUGAUAGAUAAAAACGGUCAAUUUUGCUUCUUAGCUUAGGUAAGAUAUUAGUGAAAAUAUAAAUAUAUUGUCACAAUUUUGUUAAAUUAUGUGAAAAUAUCAUAUUGAUAUUAUCAAUGAGCCUAUAAUUAUGAAUCUAAAAUUUUUAUAAUUAUUACUAUUCAGUUCAAAAAUUUUAUAUUUAAAACUUUUUUAUUGUCAUUACAUUACUUACCGAAUAUGUUAAACAAAAUUAUAAUUGAUAUUUUUUUCAGGUAUAUAACUAUAACCUUCCAUUACAAUCUUUAUAAACAAUGAAGAAUAUGCUCCCAUCAAUAUCAGGUAUGGAUACUAAUUUUAAUGAUGUGCAUAUUAAUAUAUAAAUUUCAAUAAAAAAUUAAAAUUAGUUUUGACUUUGUAUAUAGUAGAAUCAUUCAUAUAUAUAUAUAUAUAUAUAUAUAUAUAAACACAUAUAUAUAUAUAAACUCGUAAUAAAACUUUAUAUAUGCAUUAUCUAAAUAAUAAUCAUCUAAGUUCUUUCUUUUUCAUGAUACUAGAUGAAUCCUCAGUGAUGUUGCCAGAGCUCUUGCACUGGAUAUGUUAAGUGUGGGAGAACACACACGGCGGGGCUACUGGUAUAACAGAUCUGAUUAGUGUAUAUUCUUAACUCAGCUAUGUACAAUUAUAUAUUUAUUAAUUAUCAUUGUAUUAUGUAUUUAUAUUUCAGAUUGCGGCAGAAUAUCAUAUUCCCACACAACCAAUGGGAGUGCUAUUUUUCAAGAUAUUACACAUAGGAUUCUGGGAAUGGCUAAAUAGUUGUAAACCAAUUUAGCAUUUUCAGUAGCUGUUUUGUAUAUCUCUUUCUUAAGUUUGUUUACUUUGUACGCGCUCAUACUAUUUUAUUUCAGCUGAGAAAAAUUCUCACUUAUAUAAGCAAAUAUAGUUAUGGUAAAUUGAAGACACCAAUUUACAUAUUUAUUAUGGUACAAUUUUAUGUUUUGUAUAUAACAAUGUUACCAAAUUCUUGAAGAAGUAUAAUCUUCACAAUCCCAUAUUUUAGUUCCAUAUAAACUAUGUUAUCAAUUUUGAGAGGAAAUCCAACAAAGGCUCGAGUAUUUUCAUCGGUGAUGAUAUCAUCAUGGGAAAACUAUAUGACUAGAGUUUCGAAUAAACUUGAUCAUACGACUCAAUAAGAAGACAAGGAUGAGAAUUUAUAAAGGUACAAACAAGAAGGUUUUAGAAUUUUCUACGAAGAUGGGAAGAAUGGCGACCAUAAACAUUAUAUUAAAAGUGCAUGAAUAUUAUAUGUUACAUUUGUAAACAUGUUCAUGAUUGCAUACUGGUCAUAGCUUCAUUUUAUCAUGAAGCAUGGGUAAUUCCCUAAAAUUUUGAAGUGGAUGAGUUUUUAAAGUGGCAGAUUGAUGUUGAAAAAUUCUUUGAUGAUCGAAACUAGAGAAUAAAUAAGUCCAUUUGGUAGAGCUAAAAUUUAUGAAUUAUGUUGCUUCCAUAUGGUCGGAUACUAGCAUAUAUGAAAAUUAUAUAAUUGACAUUGCUAGUUUGAAUUGCAUGCCAGAAUACUACAAUUUAAGUUAAAUAAUAUAUAAUAAUGAUCUUCUUAAUUAUCUGAGGGGACAAUUGUGCGAGCUCAAAUAUUUCAUUGAGGGUUUGGGAUAUUAGUUCAUUUUGGUAGUGCUGAACAAUACCGUUUACGUUUUUAAAACUAUUAAUUAGUUUGGUUAUAAAAAAUGAUCAGAUUCUUUACCCAUGGUUAGCAUGCACCUUAUCUUAUUUGGGUGGUGUUAAACAAUAAUAUGGAUGUACUAACUCUUUUAAUAAAAUAUAUUGCGGCAUAUCAUAUCCCCACUACCUGUGCACGUAUGUCUCACUUAGCUUGAAGAAUAACUUAUUAUGGAAAACAUUAAUGCAUACUAAUUUCCUUUACGUACUGCAUAAGAACGUGAAAAGUAAUACAAUGCAUAAAAGAUACAGGGAGCCUGCCAAGAAACCAAUCUCAGUAUUUUUGAUGAGUCGGUGGCAUGGUCAUUUGUUUAUCUUGGUGAUACAGUAAUGAUGUAGAGGAUGAUCAGGAAUGAUAGCACCAUGGAGGAAAAGAUUGAGGUUAAAACGGAGAAUCCAAUGUGUCGACAGUAGGAAUCAUAGACAUUGCAGAUCUUGUGCCAUCCUACAUUUGAGUU
rnacentral:lncRNA from 1 species